ACCGGGCUUGGUAACGCUUGCCUGUAACUCGUAACUCAAGUGAGGGUAUUAAAGAUUGUUGGACAGUGACUCAACCGAGUCAGAUUGGUCCCACUGUUGCAUAAUCUGGCUUGCCCGUUCCAAGUUGUGAGUUGGACCAUGUGGCUUGAGCGAAAGCUUGGGCCACAUGGUUCCUAAAGCAGGGGGCACUGCGUAAGGCUGGUUUCACAGAGCUGCGAAAACCCCUCGCUCAUGACAGUGGAAGCAUGUAAAUGAAGCCCAAAUGAUAAAGUGCCUUUCACAUAUUAUGCAUGUAUGAAGAAUAUGGAAACACAAGCACCAGUGGUCUAGUGGUAAAAUAGUACCCUGCCACGGUACAGACCCGGGUUUGAUUCCCGGCUGGUGCACCUAGGAGCUGUGACG
rnacentral:lncRNA from 1 species